CCUACGGGAGGCAGCAGUGAGGAAUAUUGGUCAAUGGGCGCGAGCCUGAACCAGCCAAGUCGCGUGAGGGAGGACGGCCCUACGGGUUGUAAACCUCUUUUGCCGGGGAGCAACGGGCGCCACGCGUGGCGUCACUGAGAGUACCCGGAGAAAAAGCAUCGGCUAACUCCGUGCCAGCAGCCGCGGUAAUACGGAGGAUGCGAGCGUUAUCCGGAUUUAUUGGGUUUAAAGGGUGCGUAGGCGGAGCGUCAAGUCAGGGGUAAAAUUGAGGGGCUCAACCCCUUCGAGCCGUUGAAACUGGCGUUCUUGAGUGAGAGAGAAGUAUGCGGAAGGCGUGGUGUAGCGGUGAAAUGCAUAGAUAUCAAGCAGAACCCCGAUUGCGAAGGCAGCAUACCGGCGUCCGACUGAUGCUGAAGCACGAAAGUGUGGGUAUCGAACAGGAUUAGAUACCCGAGUAGUC
rnacentral:rRNA from 1 species